rnacentral:rRNA from 1 species
UACGGGGGGGGCAAGCGUUGUUCGGAAUUACUGGGCGUAAAGGGCCAGUAGGCGGCCAACUAAGUCGGAUGUGAAAUCCCCAGGCUCAACUUGGGAACUGCAUCCGAUACUGGAUGGCUUGAAUUCGGGAGAGGGAUGCAGAAUUCCAGGUGUAGCGGUGAAAUGCGUAGAUAUCUGGAGGAACACCGGUGGCGAAGGCGGCAUCCUGGACCGACACUGACGCUGAGGAGCGAAAGCCAGGGGAGCAAACAGG